GAUGAAGAACGCAGCGAAAUGCGAUACGUAAUGUGAAUUGCAGAAUUCAGUGAAUCAUCGAAUCUUUGAACGCAUAUUGCGCUCUCUGGUAUUCCGGAGAGCAUGCUUGUUUGAGUAUCAGUAAACACCUCAACUCCCUUUCUUCUUGAAAUGGAGCUGGACUUGAGUGAUCCCAACGCUUUAUUCAUAAAGUGGCGGGUUACUUGAAAUGCAGGUGCAGCUGGACUUUUCUCUGAGCUAUAAGCAUAUCUAUUUAGUCUGCCUCAAAACAGAUUAUUACCUUUGCUGCAGCUAACAUAAAGGAGAUUAGUUCUUGUGCUGACUGAUGCAGGAUUCACAAAGACCGCUUCGGCUGUCUUUGUAAACUCGAUCUCAAAUCAAGUAAGACUACCCGCUGAACUUAAGCAUAUCAUAAGCGGAGGA
rnacentral:misc_RNA from 1 species